AUCUUUGAACGCACCUUGCGCUCCUUGGUAUUCCGAGGAGCAUGCCUGUUUGAGUGUCAUUAAUAUCUAUAUCAAUCUCUCCUUCUCUUGUGUAGGAGUGGUUUGGAUUUGGGGGGUUUUGCUGGCCUCUUAAAAAAGGUUCAGCUCCCCUGAAAUGCAUUAGCAGAACAAUCCUUGUUCAUUGGCGUGAUAACUAUCUAUGCUAUUGAAUGUGAGGUGCAGUUCAGCUUUCUAACAGUCCUUUGGACAAAUUCAUCAUUAAUGUGACCUCAAAUCAGGUAGGACUACCCGCUGAACUUAAGCAUAUCAAUAAGCGGAGG
rnacentral:rRNA from 1 species